AUCAAGGGUCUAUGAAAAAUGAAAUUUGGGAAUAACCCAACUUUUUCCUUUGUGUUAUGGAUAUAUAUAGAAGAUCUUACUAAAUCUUGGUUUUUAUUUUACCAAAAAAAAAUCUUGGUUUUUAUAUUGAUGGUUUAUUUACUUGAUGUUUCCCUCAUGCAAGAAAAGGAAAAGUCUUAAGUCGUUGCGGUGAAUUUGAUGUUGAUAUGAUAGAAUUCUGUAUGCGAUGUGUAGCUAUUACAGUUAAUAGCCUAAUGAUAACAAAAUUAAAAGUUGGGUACAAAGUCAGUAUCAAUAAGGAAGUGAGCUGUCCUCUACUAAUAAGUCUUCUGUCCCGUAACUUCCUUUUCUUUCAUUUCUUAUCUUAGCCUUUUGUGGUUUGUCUGUUUCACAAAGUUCUAUUACAAGAAACCACUCACGUUUUAAUUAAUGAAAAAUUAUUGUUGUCUCAAAUCUCAAGUACUUUGAACGACAAGGUCUUAUGUGGUUCAUGGAGUGUAUGCAUUUACUUAUCUUACAUUACGGUAUCUAGAUAUUACAUGAACUUUUAACCUUUGUAUGUAAAAUAUUUCCAUGUUUUUGUAAGUGAUUGUUGAUGAUCCAAUCUAUGGGUCAAGGCCACUCUUGAGUUUUUUUUUUUUUUAAACGAUUUCAAUUAUGGUCAAACUAUAUUUUAAAUGUCUUACGAAUCAGCUCCCGCUUCACAAUCUGUUAGUCUAACGAACCUAGUUUCGAUAACUCUCUCAACGUUUGAUCUCACUUCUCUCUCGCACUCGUUUGCAACCAAGAACGAUAAAAGAAAAGAAAGCAAAUGCACACACAGAUUGUUUGCCCAGUUCGAGUCUCAAUGUGAGAACUCUACGUCUGGGUGCUUGACGGCACAAGCAAACGACUUUACUCAAUCACUCCAAAAGAUCGUAUAGGUCAGAUCGAAUCAAGAGACUUAUGCACA
rnacentral:lncRNA from 1 species